rnacentral:rRNA from 1 species
UACGUAGGUGGCAAGCGUUAUCCGGAUUUAUUGGGCGUAAAGGGAACGCAGGCGGUCUUUUAAGUCUGAUGUGAAAGCCUUCGGCUUAACCGGAGUAGUGCAUUGGAAACUGGGAGACUUGAGUGCAGAAGAGGAGAGUGGAACUCCAUGUGUAGCGGUGAAAUGCGUAGAUAUAUGGAAGAACACCAGUGGUGAAAGCGGCUCUCUGGUCUGUAACUGACGCUGAGGUUCGAAAGCAUGGGUAGCAAACAGG